rnacentral:SRP_RNA from 1 species
GCUGGGUGUGGUGUCGCGCGCCUGUAAUCCCAGCUACUCGGGAGGCUGAGGUGGGAUAAUCGCUUGAACCUGGGAGGCAGAGGUUGCAGUGAGCCGAGAUUGUGCCACUGCACUCCAGCCCGGGCAACAGAGUGAGAUUCCAUCCCCU